CCUCCUCCUCUCAAAAUUAUCUCCGCACCAAGAAAAAUCCUCCACAAUCUUUUCGCUAAAUUGCACCUCCUCUCAAAAUAUCUCCAUACCAAGAAACAUCCUCCACAAUCUUUUCGGUUAUUGGAAAAAAAAAGAUAUUAAAAUUCUCUUAUAAUUCCUCUAUAUGUAAUUGUUCUAACUUGUAAUCGUAUCAAUCUUUCUAUAAUUGUACAAAAUUUUAUGCGGGUUUUGAAAUAGCGACAUAUAACCAGUGUGCUGUUGCUCUUUGCUGAUAUCGCUACCAAAACUGCGGAGAAUUUAAGGAAAGCAGGAGUACCACAAGGUUUCAAGAAUUGUCAGUUCCAUAGGGUGAUUAAGGACUUCAUGAUCGAAGUGUGCAGCUGCCUUUGCACUACACAUGGCCCUAAGAUCCAGGAUCGAUUUGAUAAUAACCGGCACUCCUGAUUGGACAUGUAAAGUACAGAUUGUCAACAUCAGUCGAGAGAGAAAAAGCUCUGAGAAGCAAAUCUUAUUCCAAAAUCUCCUUUUAAGAAGAUGAAGAGGGCCAACAAAUUAGGGCUGCUGUGAAUGGAGAUGACAUUGCAUAUUAUGCGGACAAGUUGGUUCUCUUCAACACCUACCUGAUCUCGACUGUACGGGUAAAGGAUUCGCCAAAAUCAUAUGCUCGGCCAAUUCAUACAUAUUACUGGAUACUUGAUAAGGAAACAA